GGGGAUGUAGCUCAGCGGGAGAGCACUGCUUUCGCACGGCAGGGGUCGGGGGUUCAAAUCCCCUCAUCUCCA
rnacentral:tRNA from 1 species